CAGAUGGAAGACAAUUGAAGAGUGGAGGGGGAAAGGAGGGCUGCCGAGAGGCUGAUAGUAAUUUCAAGUGACUGUGCGAUGCUGAUGGCAACUUUCGGCUAAUGCGUUGACAGUGCCCACCUCAACUGUGAGAGAGAUUUCUCUGCAAUGAACAGAGUGAAGACAGACUUGAGAAACAUCGGGACCAUCUUGCAGCACACCUCACGUUGACUAUAAAUGGACCACCUAUUGCUGAUUUCCCUUAGAAUUUUUUUUUUUUUUUUAGUCCAGGAAAAUGAAGUGUUAGCAGGCAGGAUGCAAACUUUACAAAUCUUUGUUAUUGUUCUUAGAACAAAAAA